GAAUCUUCCGCAAUGGACGAAAGUCUGACGGAGCAACGCCGCGGGAGUGAAGAAGGCCUUCGGGUCGUAAAACUCUGUUGUUAGGGAAGAACAAGUGUCGGAGUAACUGCCUGCACCUUGACGGUACCUAACCAGAAAGCCGCGUCUAACUACGUACCAGCAGCCGCGGUACGACGUAGGUGGCAAGCGUUGUCCGGAAUUAUUGGGCGUAAAGCGCGCGCAGGCGGUUUCUUAAGUCUGAUGUGAAAGCCCCCGGCUCAACCGGGGAGGGUCAUUGGAAACUGGGAAACUUGAGUGCAGAAGAGAAGAGCGGAAUUCCACGUGUAGCGGUGAAAUGCGUAGAGAUGUGGAGGAACACCAGUGGCGAAGGCGGCUUUCUGGUCUGUAACUGACGCUGAGGCGCGAAAGCGUGGGGAGCAAACA
rnacentral:rRNA from 1 species